UACAGAGGUGGCAAGCGUUGUUCGGAAUUACUGGGCGUAAAGGGCGCGUAGGCGGUCUUGUAAGUUCUGUGUGAAAUCCCUCGGCUCAACUGAGGAACUGCACGGAAAACUGCGAGGCUUGAGUUCGGGAGAGGGAAGCGGAAUUCCUGGUGUAGCGGUGAAAUGCGUAGAUAUCAGGAGGAACACCUGUGGUGUAGACAGCUUACUGGACCACUUCUGACGCUGAGACACGAAAGCGUGGGUAGCAAACAGG
rnacentral:rRNA from 1 species